CCUACGGGUGUCAGCAGUGAGGAAUAUUGGUCAAUGGACGAGAGUCUGAACCAGCCAAGUAGCGUGAAGGAUGACUGCCCUAUGGGUUGUACACUUCUUUUAUAUGGGAAUAAAAUGUUCCACGUGUGGGAUUUUGUAUGUACCAUAUGAAUAAGAAUCGGCUAACUCCGUGCCAGCAGCCGCGGUAAUACGGAGGAUCCGAGCGUUAUCCGGAUUUAUUGGGUUUAAAGGGAGCGUAGGUGGAUUGUUAAGUCAGUUGGGAAAGUUUGCGGCUAAACCGUAAAAUUGCAGUUGAAACUGGCAGUCUUGAGUACAGUAGAGGUGGGCGGAAUUCGUGGUGUAGCGGUGAAAUGCUUAGAUAUCACGAAGAACUCCGAUUGCGAAGGCAGUUCACUGGACUGCAACUGACACUGAGGCUCGAAAGUGUGGGUAUCAAACAGGAUUAGAUACCCUGGUAGUC
rnacentral:rRNA from 1 species